GUGGCGAAGAAUAUUCUUCAAAGAUCGAAAAUGGUUAUUAUUUUUUCUUCAGAUGGUAUUUCAGUGACUGAAGGAUCAGCGCUAUGUUGCUAGUGACCAACUGCAGGUUAUUCAGUAUAUGCUGGACACUUUUCUUGCAAUGGACCACUUGUCAAGAUUUUGUAUUCGAAGUACACACUGUUACGAUCAUUUUUCUUGAGUACCAUUAAGUCAAUGUGCUUUAUGAAGUGGAUUGUAUCCCAUAAGUUUUAAUGUGUUGAUUUUAUUAUUUGUGUUUUUACUGUCGGUGAAAUUGUUGAAUUAUUACGUUUUUAGAAUUAUUGAAUUAUUACGUUUUAAGAAUGGGAAGUGUUGAAUGCAGUUCUUCAUCAUACAAGUUAAUUUGCUUUCCCCUUAACAAAGUUUGCUUCUUUUGCUGUGAAGACGCAGAAAAAUACAUAAUGAAAGUUAUUAGAUUUUUAGUCUUACAUUCAGUGCAAAUAUAUAUAUAUAAAGUAAAUAAUUUAGAACUAAUAUUUCACAAAGACCAGAAAUUGAAAUUCAUAAUUAAUAAAUUUCAAAUAAUCAUAUAAAUGCAACAAAGAAUUUUAAAAUGUUAAAACCAAAACAUUUCAAACAAGCAAAAUUCCACUUCACAAAAUUUAUGAAAUUUAAUGAAAAAAGAACAAAACAGAAGAAGUCAAUCAACCUCAGUGUCACUUCAUCAGGGGGUAGGAACUCUGAAAUUAAUUGAAAUCUCUCUUCUACAAAAAUCCUUGCUUUUCUGUAUCCAGAAUUAGCCUAUGAACUAUUUCAAUGUAUUUUAAGUAACACAUUAAAGUUUCCAAAAUAUUUCUUUAUGUAGCAUUGUUAGAAUUUCUUAUUUUAAACCUUAUAUGUCAUAAUAGCCAUAUUUUGCUGUAACAAUGUAAUGUUUUAUGCCAUUCGUCGUAGCAGAUGAUUUCGCCAAUUUUAUGAGUUUUGAAUUUUUUUUAGCUGUGUGCAGUUAUAAUUUUAUUUAGAUUUAAAUAUGAACAGCAGAAUUUAGGCAGCAGAAUUUAUUCCUUUUGUAUGAAUUGCUUCUUAAAUUUCAUCAAUAUUAAAUGAAAAUAACUUUUAAUCUAAAAAAACAGUUAUCUCCAUGUUCCCUAUGAGUCAUAUUUCGGGAGCAAAAAUUUACUUUUAAAACAAACGCGGUUCGAACAGCUGUUCUAAAGGUUUUGGGAAGGAAAGUUGUAUUUUGUGUUUUAAAAGAGUAGGACUUACGGUGAGUUUGCAAAGUUUUAAAAUUGUCGGGGGGCGACAUUUGAAGGACACAACUUUAUCACUCUUUAGUCUCCUACGUACACUCGGCAAAAAAAAAAGGGGUGGACAGUUCUGUCGUUCUACGGGGUCGAUUGACGAAAUUUAACUUGCUUUUUUAAUGUCUCGAAAUUGCCCUCCCAAGAGUGCCCCAGAGACACUGUAUAGGGUUAAGUCAAGAGAUAUGGCUGACCAAACCGCACUUCGAAUAGCCUCACUCUCCAAGUAAUCGUGUCGAACAUCUGAGCUCUGUGUGGAUGAGCGUUGAUAUUUAUUAACAGGAACCCAAGACCAACCGUUCCCCUGAAGAGUCAACCAUAGGGCUCUAAAAUCUCCUCUCUAUUAUACCUCAUAGCAGGCAGGGAACGUUUGUCAAAUAUAUGCAGGGGUGUGCGUGCUUACAACAUACAAUGCUUGCCCAAACCAUUACACCUCCACCACCGUAAUGAAGUCAUGGUGUCGGGUUCUAGGUUUUCUCCAAAUAUAGGUACGCCGAGAAUCAGUGCCCGGACUUAAUCUCUACUCAUCUGAAAAGUCCACUGAAUUUUGGUCCAAGGCGUAUGUUGUCUGAACCAUGCUAAAUGCACUUUCUUGAGUUCUGCAGUGAAUAGGACACAUAAAGUAGGUCUUCUGGCAACUGCAUACCGUGAAAUUUCGCGUUCCAGGGGCAACACACAGUUAACGUGAGAACUAUGAAGCUGUAGCAGUCCUGUGUCGCGGGUGUGAAAGUGCUGAAUAACGAUCCUCAUUCGCCUUUGUGGAUAUUGGUCGACCUUGUCUAGGUCUUCUGGUUAUGGAUCCAGUGUCCGGAAAUUGUAUCCACAAAUUUUAGACGACACAGGGCGUUACACUGCCCUUGUUUGUCAUAAAAUCUUGUCGAUUAGGUGGAUGGGGCUGCGCCCUAUUUGUACAGGGCGUUACACUGAGUUCUGUAGCCACCUCAGCUUGUAAUUGGCCUGCUUCCAAUUUACCGACAGUUAGUUCUAUAUCCCAUUCCGUCAUGCACACGUGAUACCUUAUAAAACCUUUGACCUGAUACCUUAUAAAAGUUACCCAAUUCUUGCAAGAAACACGGCAAACGCCGUCAAGGACUACGAGCACACAAACCAUCGAAAACCCCUCGUGCGCUUACAUCCCCUCCACAAUCAUAGCUCCGCAUUAAAUAAGCAUACGCUUAUGUAUUCGAUUCUGAAUAUUUGCAUAGUUCCUUGCCAGCAUAUUUAGUGUCUUUGAUUCAAUACUUUUAAUAAAAAUAGCCAUAAUUUGCAAAUUCUUUUAAUUUAGCAUACGAGUAUUUGUGGGUUACCUUUGGGUUUAGGAAACUUUUUCAUCAUUAAUAAUGAUUUGUUUUAAAAAACUUGGAAUUAUUACCAUUUGUUCCACUCAAAAUUCAUUCGUUUGGAGUUUCAGCCUUUUAAUCAGAAACAGCAGCAAAAAUUUAAACACAAAAUUUGAAUUUAAACCUCUUUCCGUGAGACAUCAAUAUUUUAAAGAAGAAAAUUUCUGGGAGUGUAAUAGAUUACUAUUACCAUUAUUUAUUAUGUGGUAACUCUACUAGGACUGCUGAGAAAAACUCAGUUUAUAGACGCAUUGCAUGUAAAAGCAAAUGCUGUGUUUUCGUGUGUCUGAAAAUAAAAUAAUAUUGUAUAAAUCUUAAUAUUACUUCUGGUGUAAAUCUAUUUUAUUCUAUUUAUAAUUUGUUUUAGCGAUGUAUAAGCAUAUGACUAGCAUAAAUCUACUGUAAUAGAAUAAUAUUUAUGUGUUCCAUUAUCUAUAUAACAGCAAACUAUCAUCGAAUAUAAAAACAAAAAUUAUUGAAUUCGUCAAGAAUAGCAAACUUUCAUAUAAUUUAAAUUUUUUAAUAUUUUGAUUAUUUAUUAUUUUAAAGAAGACUUACUAUUUUUACAAGUGUAUCCCGAAUCAGUGGCUUUCAGUGAUUGGUUCCCAGUGG